UACAGAGGGGGCAAGCGUUAUUCGGAAUUAUUGGGCGUAAAGGGAGCGUAGGCGGCUUCUUAAGUCAGAUGUGUAAUCACCGAGCUUAACUUGGGAACUGCAUCUGAGACUGGGAGGCUAGAGUACUGGAGAGGGUGGUGGAAUUCCUCGUGUUGCGGUGAAAUGCGUAGAGAUGAGGAGGAACACCAGUGGCGAAGGCGGCCACCUGGACAGUAACUGACGCUGAGGGGCGAAAGUUUGGGUAGCACUCAGG
rnacentral:rRNA from 1 species